rnacentral:misc_RNA from 1 species
GAUGAAGAACGCAGCGAAAUGCGAUAAGUAGUGUGAAUUGCAGAAUUCAGUGAAUCAUCGAAUCUUUGAACGCACAUUGCGCCCCUUGGUAUCCCGAGGGGCAUGCCUGUUCGAGCGUCAUUUCACCACUCAAGCCUGGCUUGGUGUUGGGCGACGUCCCCUUUGGGGACGCGCCUCGAAAUGCUCGGCGGCGUGGCACCGGCUUUAAGCGUAGCAGAAUCUUUCGCUUUGGAAGUCGGGGCCCCGUCUGCCGGAAGACCUACUCGCAAGGUUGACCUCGGAUCAGGCAGGGAUACCCGCUGAACUUAAGCAUAUCAUAAGCGGAGGA